UACGGGGGGAGCAAGCGUUGUUCGGAUUUACUGGGCGUAAAGGGCGCGUAGGCGGUCAGCACAAGUCAAUUGUGAAAUCUCCGAGCUUAACCCGGAAAGGUCAACUGAAACUGUGCGACUAGAGUGCGGAAGGGGCAACUGGAAUUCUUGGUGUAGCGGUGAAAUGCGUAGAUAUCAAGAGGAACACCUGCGGCGAAGGCGGGUUGCUGGGCCGACACUGACGCUGAAGCGCGAAAGCCAGGGGAGCGAACGGG
rnacentral:rRNA from 1 species